UACACACCGCCCGUCGCACCUACCAAUUGAAUGGUCCGGUGAAUCGUUGGGAUUAAGGUUGGGUUCCUUUAUUGGAGUCUGACUGUGAUAACUUCUCUAAACCUUCGAAUUUAGAGGAAGGUGAAGUCGUAACAAGGUUUCCG
rnacentral:rRNA from 1 species